rnacentral:rRNA from 1 species
GACUACACGGGUAUCUAAUCCUGUUUGCUACCCACGCUUUCGUACCUCAGCGUCAGUUUGAGUCCAGGGAGUCGCCUUCGCCACUGGUGUUCCUUCAGAUCUCUACGCAUUUCACCGCUACACCUGAAAUUCCACUCCCCUCUACUCAACUCUAGCUCGCCAGUAUCAAAUGCCAUUCCCAGGUUAAGCCCGGGGCUUUCACAUCUGACUUAACGAGCCGCCUACGCACGCUUUACGCCCAGUAAUUCCGAUUAACGCUUGCACCCUCCGUAUUACCGCGGCUGCUGGCACGGAGUUAGCCGGUGCUUCUUGUAUAGGUAAUGUCAGUCUACCCAGUAUUAAUGGAUAGGUAUUCCUUCCUAUUGAAAGUGCUUUACAACCCUCAGGCCUUCUUCACACACGCGGUAUUGCUGGAUCAGGCUUCCGCCCAUUGUCCAAUAUUCCCCACUGCAGCCCCCCGUAGG